UCGGGUUAAAUUUUUGCGAUA
rnacentral:piRNA from 1 species